rnacentral:rRNA from 1 species
CAGUCGCCGCGGUAAAACGUAGGGUGCAAGCGUUAAUCGGAAUUACUGGGCGUAAAGCGUGCGCAGGCGGUUAUAUAAGUCAGAUGUGAAAUCCCCGGGCUCAACCUGGGAACUGCAUUUGAGACUGUAUGGCUAGAGUGUGUCAGAGGGGGGUAGAAUUCCACGUGUAGCAGUGAGAUGCGUAGAGAUGUGGAGGAACACCGAUGGCGAAGGCAGCCCCCUGGGCCAAUACUGACGCUCAUGCACGAAAGCGUGGGGAGCAAACAGGAUUAGAUACCCGCGUAGUCCCUGUCUCUUAUAC